UGCUGUGAAGCUUGUGUUUGGGACACAGGAAGUAGAAGCCACUUGGCAAAGGGAAUAUAAAGUGCAGCUGCAUCAUCUCCAUUUUGUCUUCAAUCCCCCUUCCUACCUCUAGAGCAACUUCUCUACAAACUGAAGGCUUGAACAAAGGACUGAAUAAUGUGGAUGUGUACCAGGGAGCCUUUCAAGCCAGAAACUCACCAAUACUGCUAAGAACCAGAUGUAUAGAUUUCUGAAUGUGUCUGACUGCUUUCCCAUUUAACAACUCCCUUUUUCUUUCUUUCUUUUAUAAUAAACCUUUAGUUUAGAUGCUUUCUUGCUUAUAAACCUUUAGGUGCUAAGGAUUGGCUGGCAUCAUAGUAUUUUGGGUAAGAUCCAAACCCAUAAUGACCUGGUAAUGUGGCUGACUCUGGGGUCAGAAGAACACUUUGUUUAUGUGAGCAGAGUUUUUAAAUAACCUCUCAUUGUGCUGGACCUAGGUGCUGAUUGGGAGUCAGAGAACUAGAAUGCAAUAAAGGGGGCCGUGUGAUUUCUUUUUUCAAUUUCUCGAUAACCAGUGUGGGGGAUCAGAAGCACAGUUUGUGACUGGUUGGUGAGUUUAACUUCCGUGUUAACCACCAGUUUGGGGAGCCUCUGCUCUCCUUUUUUCAGCCUGCCCUGGUCUUGGCAUUUUCAGUGAGGACUAGCCCAGGCACACCAGGUCUCACUAAGUAUUAAAGUUAAAUUAAUAGACUGUUUUUUUAUGACAAAGUUUGAUGAAAUCAACAGAACUCCUUUGUCUUCUUUCAUCUGAGCAGGUUUUCCAGUUUCCAAACCUGAUGUGAUCGCCCAGCUGGAACAAGGGGAAGAGCCAUGGGUCUCAGACCUGCAAGGUUCAGAGGGAAAACAGACCCUGAGAUCUCCCUGCAGAGCAGGUGAUGCAAUGACAUAUGAGAAAGAGGAGCAGAAUUCUCAGCAGAAAAAUGCUCAGCAACUGGAUAAACACAGAGCAUUAUUGCAAAGCAAAAAUCAAUGUGUCCAGGAGUCAUGAGAAGGAAAAAUCCUGUGAGAUUCAGCACAGACCAGAAAGAGAGCAAGGAAACCAGCCAAGGGAGAAAUUGGGUAAACAUAUUUCCUCUCAGGGAACUCAGAAGGACCUCAAGGAAACCACAACAAAGCAGGAAAUCAUCAUUGGAAAGAGAAAAAAUACAUGCACAGAGUGUGGAAAAAACA